rnacentral:rRNA from 1 species
AGUGGCGGACGGGUGAGUAAUACUUAGGGACAUGCCUUUGGGUGGGGGAUAACUAUUGGAAACGAUAGCUAAUACCGCAUAACGUCUACGGACCAAAGGGGGCUUCGGCUCCCGCCCAGAGAGUGGCCUAAGCGAGAUUAGCUUGUUGGUGAGGUAAAGGCUCACCAAGGCGACGAUCUCUAGCUGUUCUGAGAGGAAGAUCAGCCACACUGGAACUGAGACACGGUCCAGACUCCUACGGGAGGCAGCAGUGGGGAAUAUUGCACAAUGGGGGGAACCCUGAUGCAGCCAUGCCGCGUGUGUGAAGAAGGCCUUCGGGUUGUAAAGCACUUUCAGUUGUGAGGAAAGUUUAGCGGUUAAUACCCGUUAGAUGUGACGUUAGCAACAGAAGAAGGACCGGCUAACUCCGUGCCAGCAGCCGCGGUAAUACGGAGGGUCCGAGCGUUAAUCGGAAUUACUGGGCGUAAAGCGCACGCAGGCGGUUUGUUAAGCUAGAUGUGAAAGCCCCGGGCUCAACCUGGGAAUAGCAUUUAGAACUGGCAGACUAGAGUCUUGGAGAGGGGAGUGGAAUUUCUGGUGUAGCGGUGAAAUGCGUAGAUAUCAGAAGGAACAUCAGUGGCGAAGGCGACUCCCUGGCCAAAGACUGACGCUCAUGUGCGAAAGUGUGGGUAGCGAACAGGAUUAGAUACCCUGGUAGUCCACACCGUAAACGCUGUCUACUAGCUGUUUGUGGAUUUAAUCCGUGAGUAGCGCAGCUAACGCGAUAAGUAGACCGCCUGGGGAGUACGGCCGCAAGGUUAAAACUCAAAUGAAUUGACGGGGGCCCGCACAAGCGGUGGAGCAUGUGGUUUAAUUCGAUGCAACGCGAAGAACCUUACCUACUCUUGACAUACUAGAAACUUUUCAGA